ACGUGAUAUCUGAACAAAUCUGGGCUCUCCUGAUGAGGCAGAGGGAUACAGGGCGGUAAGGAAUGACUGCUGUGGAGUCAACAAAGGGUCUUUGCCUGGUGCAGUUACAGAGGAGUUUCUGGACUUCCACUGUUCCUGUGUUCCCAAAGCCUUGGCCCAUCAUGUUUCCCACGUGAAGUAUUCCAAGGACUGGCACCAUUCUUUAGGCACUGAGGUGACAGGCAAGACUACGAUGGACAUAGAACAGGAAAAAUUUCAUUCUUAAGGACCUCAGAAUGUGACAUCAUAUGGAGACAGGGUCACUGCAGAUGUCAUUAAGAUGGAGGUCAUACUGAGGUACGGUGGGUCCUGAAUCUCAUGUGCCUGGUUCCUUGUAAGGAGCAAAGAAGC